rnacentral:rRNA from 1 species
UACGUAGGGUGCAAGCGUUGUCCGGAAUUAUUGGGCGUAAAGAGCGUGUAGGCGGCCCGACAAGUCCGCUGUGAAAGUUCAGGGCUCAACCCUGGAAUGCCGGUGGAUACUGUCGGGCUAGAGUCCGGAAGGGGCGAGUGGAAUUCCUGGUGUAGCGGUGAAAUGCGCAGAUAUCAGGAGGAACACCAAUGGCGAAGGCAGCUCGCUGGGACGGUACUGACGCUGAGACGCGAAAGCGUGGGGAGCAAACAGG